AUAUUUUUUUAUAUAGUUGGAGACUGGACAAAGAAAAACGAAAGCCACGAAACGGCGAAACUUCAACGAAAGCGAGCUUUCCUCUAUCUUGUUUUCCUCCAGAAAACUUUGUUCCCUUUUCCUCUCACACCGGUUCACACCCCGCCGAAACAUUUCCUAUACACCAAAAGCUUCGGAAUCUCGCUUAAGUUUCCUGGAAUCUUGGAUCAUUGGUCUGUGCUUCUAGUUAAGGUAACCAAAUGGGAUUGUGCUUUCCUUCAACACCCAAGAAACUGGCCAUGACUAUAGGAUUAUUUGCUUCUGGAGCUGCUCUUUUUGCUGUUGGCUUGCAUCAAUGCUAUGUCAACAUUGCUCCUCAACGAGCUCGUAUCAAAGCUCGUAAUGAUUUUGUCAGAGAACGAUUAAGAAAGAAAUAUGGCAAAGAAUAGAAGGAAUUAUGCUCGCUGCUCUAGCUACCCAACAACGGCGAGUUCGCUCCAAGUAAAAAUCCUAAUGAUCUCGGCUUAACUCGAAAAUAAAAGCAUCUGUUGUUACAAUCGGAAAUCUGUUAUGGAUACAACAUUAUUCAUUUUGAAAUUAUAUCUUUAUUUCAAUUUUGUUA